rnacentral:rRNA from 1 species
AUUGAACGCUGGCGGCAUGCCUUACACAUGCAAGUCGAACGGCAGCACGGGGGCAACCCUGGUGGCGAGUGGCGAACGGGUGAGUAACAUAUCGGAACGUGCCCUGGAGUGGGGGAUAACUAGUCGAAAGACUAGCUAAUACCGCAUACGAUCUACGGAUGAAAGUGGGGGAGUCGCAAGACCUCAUGCUCGUGGAGCGGCCGAUAUCUGAUUAGCUAGUUGGGGGGUAAAGGACCUACCAAGGCAUCGAUCAGUAGCUGGUCUGAGAGGACGACCAGCCACACUGGGACUGAGACACGGCCCAGACUCCUACGGGAGGCAGCAGUGGGGAAUUUUGGACAAUGGGCGCAAGCCUGAUCCAGCAAUGCCGCGUGAGU